GAUGAAGAACGUAGCGAAAUGCGAUACUUGGUGUGAAUUGCAGAAUCCCGUGAACCAUCGAGUCUUUGAACGCAAGUUGCGCCCGAAGCCACUAGGCCGAGGGCACGCCUGCCUGGGCGUCACACGCCGUUGCCCCCCCAUCUACUCCUUCGGGAUUGCGGGGGGGCGGAUGAUGGCCUCCCGUGCGCCUAGCCGCGCGGUUGGCAUAAAUACCUAGUCCUCGGCGACGCACGCCACGACAAUCGGUGGUUGCGAAACCUCGGUUGCCCGUCGUGUGCGUUCGUCGCGCAUCGAGGGCUCGAAAAAAUGCUCGGCUCCGGCUGGGCUUUCAACGCGACCCCAGGUCAGGCGGGGUUACCCGCUGAAUUUAAGCAUAUCAAUAAGCGGAGGA
rnacentral:misc_RNA from 1 species